GUUUGAUCCUGGCUCAGAUUGAACGCUGGCGGCAUGCUUUACACAUGCAAGUCGAACGGCAGCACGGGGGCAACCCUGGUGGCGAGUGGCGAACGGGUGAGUAAUAUAUCGGAACGUACCCGGAAAUGGGGGAUAACGUAGCGAAAGUUACGCUAAUACCGCAUAUGCCCUAAGGGGGAAAGCGGGGGAUUCGCAAGAACCUCGCGUUUUCGGAGCGGCCGAUAUCGGAUUAGCUAGUAGGUGAGGUAAAGGCUCACCUAGGCGACGAUCCGUAGCUGGUCUGAGAGGACGACCAGCCACACUGGAACUGAGACACGGUUCAGACUCCUACGGGAGGCAGCAGUGGGGAAUUUUGGACAAUGGGCGCAAGCCUGAUCCAGCCAUGCCGCGUGAGUGAAGAAGG
rnacentral:rRNA from 1 species